rnacentral:rRNA from 1 species
AACGUGGGUAACCUGCCCAUCAGAGGGGGAUAACAUUCGGAAACGGAUGCUAAAACCGCAUAGGUCCUCGAACCGCAUGGUUUGAAGAGGAAAAGAGGCGCAAGCUUCUGCUGAUGGAUGGACCCGCGGUGCAUUAGCUAGUUGGUGAGGUAACGGCUCACCAAGGCCGUGAUGCAUAGCCGACCUGAGAGGGUGAUCGGCCACAUUGGGACUGAGACACGGCCCAA